CCUACGGGUGGCAGCAGUGAGGAAUAUUGGUCAAUGGACGAGAGUCUGAACCAGCCAAGUAGCGUGAAGGAUGACUGCCCUAUGGGUUGUAAACUUCUUUUAUAUGGGAAUAAAACGUUCCACGUGUGGGAUUUUGUAUGUACCAUAUGAAUAAGGAUCGGCUAACUCCGUGCCAGCAGCCGCGGUAAUACGGAGGAUCCGAGCGUUAUCCGGAUUUAUUGGGUUUAAAGGGAGCGUAGGUGGAUUGUUAAGUCAGUUGUGAAAGUUUGCGGCUCAACCGUAAAAUUGCAGUUGAAACUGGCAGUCUUGAGUACAGUAGAGGUGGGCGGAAUUCGUGGUGUAGCGGUGAAAUGCUUAGAUAUCACGAAGAACUCCGAUUGCGAAGGCAGUUCACUGGACUGCAAUUGACACUGAGGCUCGAAAGUGUGGGUAUCAAACAGGAUUAGAUACCCUUGUAGUC
rnacentral:rRNA from 1 species